rnacentral:tRNA from 1 species
ACUUAAGUAGCUUAAAUUGAAAGCUUAAUAUUGAAGAUAUUAUUAUGAGUGAGACUCCUUAGGUA